UACGAAUGGGGCGAGCGUUGUUCGGAAUCACUGGGCGUAAAGCGUGCGCAGGCGGUCAUGAAAGUCAGAAGUGAAAUCCCAGGGCUUAACCCUGGAAUUGCUUUUGAAACUCCAUGACUAGAGUACUGGAGAGGUUAGCGGAAUUCCAAGUGUAGCAGUGAAAUGCGUAGAUAUUUGGAGGAACACCAAUGGCGUAGGCAGCUAGCUGGACAGUAACUGACGCUCAUGCACGAAAGCGUGGGGAUCAAACAGG
rnacentral:rRNA from 1 species